UACGGGGGGGGCAAGCGUUGUUCGGAAUUACUGGGCGUAAAGGGCUCGUAGGCGGCCAACUAAGUCAGACGUGAAAUCCCUCGGCUUAACCGGGGAACUGCGUCUGAUACUGGAUGGCUGGAGUUUGGGAGAGGGAUGCGGAAUUCCAGGUGUAGCGGUGAAAUGCGUAGAUAUCUGGAGGAACACCGGUGGCGAAGGCGGCAUCCUGGACCAAUACUGACGCUGAGGAGCGAAAGCCAGGGGAGCAAACGGGG
rnacentral:rRNA from 1 species